rnacentral:rRNA from 1 species
AGUGAACGCUGGCGGCAGGCCUAACACAUGCAAGUCGAGCGGCAGCGCGGGGGCAACCCUGGCGGCGAGCGGCGGACGGGUGAGGAAUUCGUCGGAAUCUGCCUUUUUGUGGGGGAUAACGUAGGGAAACUUACGCUAAUACCGCAUACGUCCUACGGGAGAAAGUGGGGGACCGCAAGGCCUCACGCAGAAAGAUGAGCCGACGACCGAUUAGCUAGUUGGUGGGGUAAAGGCCCACCAAGGCGACGAUCGGUAGCUGGUCUGAGAGGAUGAUCAGCCACACUGGGACUGAGACACGGCCCAGACUCCUACGGGAGGCAGCAGUGGGGAAUAUUGGACAAUGGGCGCAAGCCUGAUCCAGCCAUGCCGCGUGUGUGAAGAAGGCCUUCGGGUUGUAAAGCACUUUUGUCCGGAAAGAAAUCCCUGGAGCUAAUACCGUCGGGGGAUGACGGUACCGGAAGAAUAAGCACCGGCUAACUUCGUG